rfam:Vigna angularis cultivar Jingnong 6 scaffold618_3, whole genome shotgun sequence.
AGGUGCGAUCAUACCAGCACUAAUGCACCGGAUCCUCCGCUGUCAAGCGUGCUUGGGCGAGAGUAGUACUAGAAUGGUUGACCUCCUGGGAAGUCCUCUUCUUGCACCUC